UACGUAGGGAGCAAGCGUUAUUCGGAAUGAUUGGGCGUAAAGAGCUCGUAGGCGGCUUGUCGCGUCUGCCGUGAAAGUCCGGGGCUCAACUCCGGAUCUGCGGUGGGUACGGGCAGACUAGAGUGAUGUAGGGGAGACUGGAAUUCCCGGUGUAGUGGUGAAAUGCGUAGAUAUCGGGAGGAACACCAGUGGCGAAGGCGACUUCCUGGCCUGUUCUUGACGCUGAGGCGCGAAAGCUAGGGUAGCAAACGGG
rnacentral:rRNA from 1 species